rnacentral:tRNA from 1 species
GCGACACUAGCUCAGUUGGUAGAGCGCAACCUUGCCAAGGUUGAGGACACGAGUUCGAACCUCGUGUGUCGCUCCA